CUGCAGUAAUUACAGGCCUAUUCCUGAAGCAAUCAAAUUGCUUAUUUGCAAGAAAGACUGUUUCCUUUCCCUAAUGAAUACUAACAGUCCUCUGGUGCCUGGAGGUGAUGUGUGUGAAUGGCCUGCUGUAACAAUGAAAAGCGAUUAUAAAUAAAUGACACACGGCCGCUCUGUUCUUAAAAAUCACCGCGUGAUCGGUUUGAGAGACGCGCGCGGAGAUGGGACUCGGGAGAUUUUGUUUUAAUUAUUCUGCCCGAAGGGAAACGGUACUUUGUUUUCUGCUGGCACCAUCCUACAGAGAAGCUUAAAGAGACUUGGAAAGCACGAGACUAUUAAUCUCUCUCAAACCACACUGGCAGAUACAGGUUCAUGUAUUUGAGCACUCUGUCCCCAGCUGGUACCUGCUGUUUACAUCAUGGACUCUUUAGAAGACGGAGCCCUAGUGGAGAAAGUAGGUGACUGGAGGCGGACUUCCGGAUUUUACAACUGGACCUACUUCCUGUUCCUUCUCUGCCUCCUGGAGCUUAACACUGUGAGCAGCCACUUCACGCUCCUGCUGUCCUUAUCCCGCUACAAUGGAUGGUGUCCCCUCAGACUGUGAGGAAAAACCAACUCUCAAAUCAACAUCCAGUGGAUUCUUGUCAGGGGAAAACACCCCUGCCAGAUCCCCAGAGACAUCUGCAGAAACCACGGUGGGGACAAGCCCCUGAGAAACUUUUGCCUUUGUAGCUGAACCUAAAUGCAACCCCACGCAGAAUUCAGAUGCCGUGCACUUGAGAGGACCAAGUGAGACCUGGAGGACUCAUAAAAGUAAAAUCAAAUCAAAUCAAGUCCAGCCAAGGCAGCCCAGGAGGAGGAAGACAGACAGACAUCUGCCGACCAUCAUGCUACCUACAGACCUGCCCUCCAGCACAAGGCACAGCUCAGGACCACAGCUGAUGGUUUGCUGCUGCCCAUAUUCAGAAAUGUCUGCCAUCCUGUUAAGCCUCUCUGGCAGUACCCUCCCACAUACUCCCAGAGGUGCCUCCUAUGUGAGUCCAGAUGCAGUCAAGAUGACAAUGAGGGUUAACCACCAUUUCACCACACUGUGAUGUAGCUAGGAGAUGCCGAUUGGAGGGAAACAAUUGCUGGUACCAUGCUCUUAAACCUCCAAAAUGGUUAAAUAAACUCGGGGUUUAAAAAA
rnacentral:sRNA from 1 species